AGCGAACGCUGGCGGCAGGCCUAAAACAUGCAAGUCGAACGCCGUAGCAAUACGGAGUGGCAGACGGGUGAGUAACACGUGGGAACGUGCCCUUUGGUUCGGAACAACACAGGGAAACUUGUGCUAAUACCGGAUAAGCCCUUACGGGGAAAGAUUUAUCGCCAAAGGAUCGGCCCGCGUCUGAUUAGCUAGUUGGUGAGGUAACGGCUCACCAAGGCUACGAUCAGUAGCUGGUCUGAGAGGAUGAUCAGCCACACUGGGACUGAGACACGGCCCAGACUCCUACGGGAGGCAGCAGUUAGGAAUCUUGGACAAUGGGCGCAAGCCUGAUCCAGCCAUGCCGCGUGAGUGAUGAAGGCCUUAGGGUUGUAAACUCCUUUCGAUCGAGACGAAU
rnacentral:rRNA from 1 species